rnacentral:sRNA from 2 species
UUCUAGCCCUGAUGGGAGCGGCAUCCUGUGGCUCUGGGGUUCAGAUCCACAGAUAUAGCGGACAGCAGGAUUAAGC